rnacentral:lncRNA from 10 species
GGGCCGUGACGUGGUGCCGCUGAGCUUGGACCCCGACCAGAAGAUAGAGAUUGAAACGAUGAGGAAAACGAAGUGCCUAAUCCCCGCUGGACGCUAACUGCAGGGAACAUGGAGGAGACAUAUUUCCACCUAUUUCUCUCCAUAAGUAUAAAAGACCAUAAAAGACCAUCUAGGGACUUCAGAACCCAAAUAAUGACACAAUGGUGAGUUCCCUGGGUUUUCUUUUUUGCACUGUAUUUCCCAGACUUGGAGCUGAAGAAGUCAGCAACAUAGAAACACCAAUGGACACAAACAAACGUAGCCCAAAUAAAAGCCUGUUCUCAUUAACCAGUGGACCAGGAAAAGGCAGCCUAGCAAGGCAGAAAACUUUUAGACGAUAACUGUAAUAAUUUCUGUACUCCAGCCAAGCACCAAAGGAAAAAAAUGCUGCUCCACCCCACUUAUGCCAACAAAGACCAAGUUAUGAGCUUAAAUGUCCACCC